UACGGAGGGUGCAAGCGUUGUUCGGAAUCAUUGGGCGUAAAGCGCGUGUAGGCGGCUUGGCAAGUCAGUUGUGAAAGCCCGGGGCCCAACCCCGGAAUUGCAUCUGAAACUGCCUGGCUGGAGUCCCGGAGAGGAAGGCAGAAUUCCCGGUGUAGGGGUGAAAUCCGUAGAUAUCGGGAGGAAUACCAGCGGCGAAGGCGGCCUUCUGGACGGUGACUGACGCUGAGACGCGAAAGCGUGGGGGGCAAACAGG
rnacentral:rRNA from 1 species